AGCUCAAGAUGGUGAUUGUAGACCACAAGCCUGUAUGGAUAAUGUGAGGCAUGAGUUUGCCAUACUUGAUAAGGAAGAGAAUAUAUGAAGCUAGGCCAAAGUUAGGGACUGGCACUGCUGCUAACUCGUGUGGGAUGGGCAACAAACCAAACCAGAAGUUGGUCUGUUGUAUCUGCAAACGGUCAUGUUCUGUACAACCAUAUCAUCAUGAUGGGCUCGGCUGCAGGGGUAGGUGAGAGCUCAUCAGUAUAUGUUAGUAAUGCUCACUACCUCGCGUCCGCUGGUACUUGGUGUGAUUUCCAUACAUCAGCAAGCUAGCGAGAUGGGCUCACCGCCUUGACAGCAUCAAGCUAAUGUGGCUAAUGUGAUGCCCUUAUUAUAUGCCUAUAUGCUUCCGCUGGAUGUGUCUUCUCUGCUGCGGCAUUGACCUGCUGUGGUAGCUAUGUAGAUAGCGCUAUGUAAAAGUUAUUUUGUGUAAGCGCAGUACAUCCUCUGGCUUAU